AUCCCUUCAGGAACAUCCGAUAAAAUUGGAACGAUACAGAGAAGAUUAGCAUGGCCCCUGCACAAGGAUGACACGCACAAAUCGAGAAAUGGUUCAAUUUUUU
rfam:Triticum aestivum genome assembly, contig: Triticum_aestivum_CS42_TGACv1_scaffold_592514_7BS